GACAAACGCUGGCGGCGUGCUUAACACAUGCAAGUCGAACGGUACUCCUACGGGAGUAUAGUGGCGGACGGGUGAGUAACACGUAGCUAAUCUACCCUGAUGUGGGGAAUAACCCCUCGAAAGAGGAGCUAAGACCGCAUAAGUUCUCUCUUGUUAGAGAGAGAAGAAACUUUGGCAGUGAAAGCCAGAGGCGUUAGGAUGAGGCUGCGGCGGAUUAGCUAGAUGGUGGGGAAAAGCCUACCAUAGGCGACGAUCCGUAGCUGGUCUGAGAGGACGA
rnacentral:rRNA from 1 species